rnacentral:rRNA from 1 species
UACGUAGGGUGCAAGCGUUGUCCGGAAUUAUUGGGCGUAAAGAGCGUGUAGGCGGCCUUACAGGUCAGCUGUGAAAACUCGAGGCUCAACCUCGGGACGUCGGUUGAAACCGUAAGGCUAGAGUCCGGAAGAGGAGAGUGGAAUUCCCGGUGUAGCGGUGAAAUGCGCAGAUAUCGGGAAGAACACCCGUGGCGAAGGCGGCUCUCUGGGACGGUACUGACGCUGAGACGCGAAAGCGUGGGGAGCGAACAGG